AACUUUUGGCAACGGAUCUCUUGGCUCUCGCAUCGAUGAAGAACGCAGCGAAAUGCGAUAAGUAAUGUGAAUUGCAGAUUUUCGGUGAAUCAUCGAAUCUUUGAACGCACCUUGCGCUCCUUGUUAUUCCGAGGAGCAUGCCUGUUUGAGUGUCAUCAAAUACAUCAACCACGAUUCAUCUUGGGGCUUGGAGUUGGAGCGUGCUGGCGAAGGGCGGCUCCUCUUUAAAUGCAUCAGUGGAAGAAUGCACCUUUUUUACCGCUUCGGCGUGAUAAUCCUGUUGCGCCGUGUGUGGGUCGAAGGUGUUCCGCUUAUAAUCGUCCUCGGACAACAUAUACUUUUGACCUCAAAUCAGGUAGGACUACCCGCUGAACUUAAGCAUAUCAAUAAGCGGAGGCU
rnacentral:misc_RNA from 1 species